rnacentral:rRNA from 1 species
UUCCGGUUGAUCCUGCCGGACCUGACUGCUAUCGGAUUGAUACUAAGCCAUGCGAGUCUUUGCAGUAAUGCAAGGCAUACGGCUCAGUAACACGUAGUCAACUUACCCUAUGGACGAGGAUAAUCUCGGGAAACUGAGCAUAAUACUCGAUAGAUCAUAAUGCCUGGAAUGGUUUAUGGUUGAAAUGAUUCGUCGCCAUAGGAUGGGACUGCGGCCUAUCAGCUUGUUGGUGAGGUAAUGGCCCACCAAGGCGAUUACAGGUACGGGCUCUGAGAGGAGAAGCCCGGAGAUGGGUACUGAGACAAGGACCCAGGCCCUAUGGGGCGCAGCAGGCGAGAAAACUUUGCAAUGUGCGAAAGCACGACAAGGUUAAUCCGAGUGAUUUCUGCUAAAGAAAUCUUUUGCAAGUCAUAAAACCACUAGUGAAUAAGGGGUGGGCAAGUUCUGGUGUCAGCCGCCGCGGUAAAACCAGCACCUCAAGUGGUCAGGAGGAUUAUUGGGCCUAAAGCAUCCGUAGCCGGCUCUGUAAGUUUUCGGUUAAAUCCAUGUGCUCAACGCAUGGGCUGCCGAAAAUACUGCAUAGCUAGGGAGUGGGAGAGGUAGACGGUACUCGGUAGGAAGGGGUAAAAUCCUUUGAUCUAUCGAUGACCACCUGUGGCGAAGGCGGUCUACCAGAACACGUUCGACGGUGAGGGAUGAAAGCUGGGGGAGCAAACCGGAUUAGAUACCCGGGUAGUCCCAGCUGUAAACGAUGCAGACUCGAUGAUGCAUUGGCAUAUAGCCAGUGCAGUGUCGCAGGGAAGCCGUUAAGUCUGCCGCCUGGGAAGUACGUACGCAAGUAUGAAACUUAAAGGAAUUGGCGGGGGAGCACCACAAGGGGUGAAGCCUGCGGUUCAAUUGGAGUCAACGCCGGA